UGGGGCGUGGUGUAAUGGCAGCACAACGGACUUUGGAUCCGUUGAUCCAGGUUCGAAUCCUGGCGCCCCAG
rnacentral:tRNA from 1 species